GAUAAACGCUGGCGGCGUGCUUAACACAUGCAAGUCGAACGAAGUUUUUCCUUCGGGAGAAACUUAGUGGCGGACGGGUGAGUAACGCGUGGGUAACCUGCCCUGUACAGGGGGACAACAGCUGGAAACGGCUGCUAAUACCGCAUAAGCCCUUAGCACUGCAUGGUGCAUAGGGAAAAGGAGCAAUCCGGUACAGGAUGGACCCGCGUCUGAUUAGCCAGUUGGCAGGGUAACGGCCUGCCAAAGCGACGAUCAGUAGCCGAUCUGAGAGGAUGUACGGCCACAUUGGGACUGAGACACGGCCCAGACUCCUACGGGAGGCAGCAGUGGGGAAUAUUGCACAAUGGAGGAAACUCUGAUGCAGCGACGCCGCGUGAGUGAAGAAGUAUUUCGGUAUGUAAAGCUCUAUCAGCAGGGAAGAAAAUGACGGUACCUGACUAAGAAGCACCGGCUAAAUACGUG
rnacentral:rRNA from 1 species